ACCUUCAUGUUACUAUAUGAUUCCUCAUAUCACAUCAUUGUAGGAUCUUGAGAUCAUCCCUAUGUUUCCAAUCUCCCUCGAGAACUACUUUCUCUGAACCCUUGUAAGAAUACCAAGUAUCUUUUUAAAAAAUGGGAGAUCCUACUAGAUCUACGAGGUGGAGAAAGUACUACAUAUACUGGCUCAUCUUAAAUAGGUUUUACAGGUCCUGUGACUCAUUAUU
rnacentral:lncRNA from 1 species